ensembl:lncRNA HOXA11-AS HOXA11 antisense RNA
GUCGGAGGAGGCGAGGUUUUCCGGGGUGCCGUAGGCUGUCUCGAAAAACUGGUCGAAAGCCUGUGGCAGGACGCCGUUCCUGCCCACGGUGCUAUAGAAAUUGGACGAGACUGCGGGGGUGGGGUGGUGGUAGACGUUGGCCGAGCUCUUGGCCAGCACGUCGCCAGGCACGCCGGCCGCGCUGGGCGCCUGCAGGCAGUCUCUGUGCACGAGCUCCUCCGCGGAGUAGCAGUGGGCCAGAUUGCCGCGGGGGUGCCAUUUAGUGGCGGGCUCAAUGGCGUACUCUCUGAAGGUCACUUCGCGCACGGGUUGGACCUGGGGCAGGUUGGAGGAGUAGGAGUAUGUCAUUGGGCGCGAAGACGGGGUCUGGGGCAGAAAAGAAGGGAGGCUGGAGAAAUCUGGACCCGAGACGUAGUAAGUACAACUUGGCAAAUACAUGUUAGAGGAGCAGGGACCACGCUCAUCAAAAUCCAUUAUUGGGCUACCUUGGGCUCUCCGCAGUAGCCGAGCUUAACAUGAUUCUCCACUGCAGCUGCCUCUUUGAAGCGGAUCCGUGAAGUAGAAAUUUGGAGACCCACCUCAGGGGAAGCAACAGAUCGUCACUCGGUGUUCUCACCGAAAGCACGUAAUCGCCGGUGUAACUCAUGUUGGCUGGGGGGCCUCCCGGCGCGCGCGGAGAGGCUGGGGUGCGCCCCCAUGCAGCAUGCUUGUGCUCAAUUGCAGGGUCCUCGUUCUCGAGUGUGCAGAGGGCGGUGAGAGCUCAACUCUCGUCCCCACCUCCCACCCGCAGCUCCCCGGUCCCCCUCCCAUAGACUUGCUCUGGGAAGCGCCUCUGCCUCCGACCCUAGCCGGAACCCCUUCGGGGCCAGAGUUUGAAGCCGUGGAUGUGCCUGCCUGGUGGCUUGUCCGAUUUGCACGGUGACUUGAUUACACUCUCUCAUUCAUGGUCACUUCCGAAGCGCUUUAGUGCCUUCCGUCCCUAAACCGCCAACAGCCAGAACGGCUUCUCCCCGCGUGACUCGGCAGAGACAGAGGCACAGGGGCUGCCCUGCUGCUCACCGGUCCACCCAUCUGCCUGGUCUUCUGGAGCUGAGGACUCGGGAAACCAUGCAAUUGAGGCAAGCCUUGGGCUGCUUUAGAGGCGCUGACAUCCGAGGAGACUUCUCCUGGGAGGUCCAACAGCCGAGCUUAGCCCACCGGGCUCUGGGAAAGACCCGACUGAGGCUAAAGCCGCCCCGGAAGGCCAAGUCCGAGUUCCAUUUCUUGAAGAGGCCGGCGCGCGUAAGGCUGUGACAUUGGCCCUGGCGACUGGCUUCCCAGGAGCUGUUCUUUCUCAGGAGCUCCACAGCGCGGGCCAUCUCCAGAAAACUGUCUUCAGAGUGUAUUUCCUUUUAUCGUCAACCCAGAGCCCCACCGCGGCUAAUGCAAGAGGCCAAAAAAUGUUUGGAGGAAGAAAAACAAAGGCAGGAAGUGGCGGCGGCCUGACGGUGCGUGUGUGUCUGCAGAGAAGGGAGGGAGCCGGCUCAGUCUCUUCUUGUUUUUCCAAACUUCAAGGUCCAGGCAGCCCUCUGCAGGGCCGGGCCCCAUUGCUCCCCGCGCGGCAUUGGAGGUGGCCGCCCGGAGAGGAGAAGGCCAACGCCUGCGCCAGGCUUGUCAGGCGGAAACGGCUAACAAGGAGAUUUGGUCAGCAAAACAGACCCAGCCUUUCCGAGGCUUCGUCUGACUUGGCCCGAAAGGUU